UGCGUGUUCACCCGUCGGUCGCUGUGCCGAGUGCAAAACGGACGAUGAUGUGGUUACACACACACACAUACACACUCAUGCACCUAUACAGCUACAC
rnacentral:miRNA from 1 species